rnacentral:rRNA from 1 species
CCUACGGGAGGCAGCAGUGAGGAAUAUUGGACAAUGGGCGCAAGCCUGAUCCAGCCAUGCCGCGUGCAGGAUGACGGUCCUAUGGAUUGUAAACUGCUUUUGUACAGGAAGAAACAGUUCUACGUGUAGAACCUGACGGUACUGUAAGAUAAGAUUCG